GAAUGUGUUACAUUUAAUUCAGAAGUUAGCUCUUCCCUUAUGAAAGGUCAAUGAUUUGCUAAUGAGUCAGACUGAAAAAAAAGGUGCUUUGCAAUACUAACAUUUUCUGCGAUGUAAGUUAGAGCAGUGCAGCGUGAUUGUUCAUUGCUAUGGUAAAACAGAAACAGAAACAGAACCAGUAACAUUAACGUUCCUGGUGACAGAUGAAGUAACUGAUAUUUCCCCAAAACAUUAUUUAAAACUUUGAAAAAAUAUUGCACUUGUAUCAAAGUGUUUUGUGAAAUAUUAAAUGCAGUUUGCAGGAGAAAAUAUCUUUCACCAACCACUGAUAGUUUACUCCGGAAAUUAUUACAUGAUGUAACUUGGUUUACAUAUGUGGUUUUCCUUUGACCUGUAGUGUUUGAUAUAUUCAUAGGUUGAAAUAAAACUUAGCUUUAACAAACACUGCAGAAAAACAAUACAAGAAUAUGGAUAGUAUUUGCAAAAAGAUUGUUUCUCAUUUGACUCAUCGUAUGCAGACAUGACAAUCUCAUAUUAAAGACCAGUACAAUUUCAAAACAGUUUUAACAAUGGUUCCUUGCUGAAGAAGACUUUUGAUAAUAAGGGUACCUACUUCCCCUCUUAUAUUUCAGAUGUAUGCUUUUUCAGCUACCCAUUUCUCCCCCUCAGACCAGAUUCUCUUUCUGCUUGAUCCUGGAGUGAAAUCAUAAUGUUGCAUUUAUGACUUCACAUACUUUUAUGGCAACACAAUGAUGUCACAAAACAGGAUUAAUGACUUCACUAAUGGAGCAAGAAACAAGGAGAAAAUGAAAUCCAAUUCACACACAAGAAGAGAGAACCUGGCCAAUUAGUUCUCACUCACUAGUCAAUUCUGACAAUGCCAAAAGAACUGCUGCACAACCAAAGGAGAGGGAAAAUUAUUUGAGGAAAUAAGGCAUGUAACCAGAUUCAUUUUUCAAACUCCAAGAAAUGGAAAAAAAAAAAAAAACUUUAAGAGAAAGAAAUGACAUUACCUGUUAUAAGGAAAAAACAAAAUGGUUGGGAGAUGAUCCGUCAUAAAUUCCCAUGGAAGGUCAUUUCGAGUGACAUCAAUUCUGUUAAAAAUGAAAUAAAAAGAAAAAAUAAACUGAUAAAGAUGCAGCUGAACAUUCCAUCUAUUACUUUUGCUUCUCAAAUAUCUGGUUUGUUUGGUUUUUUAUUUUAGAGGGGGAUUAGAGGUCACAAGAGAAAACAUGCCUAAAUGUAUUCUGACACAAGAAACAUGGUGAAGACAAAUUAGAAGAGUUACACAUAAUACUCAAAACAACUAAUCCCAGUUUAGCUAAUUGUCAUAACAGAUCUUUAGCUGAUAUUUUUCUGCCAGAAAAUGAAAUUAGUAUAAAUAUUCACAAUUUUCUUAUUCAGUAAUGAAUUAAACCUGGACUAAUCAUUGCCACUUACUAUGUGUACUGGGAAGAACUCUUGUUUUGAGACAUGCUGAUUUGACAACCAUUGGCUGCAGUUUCAAUCAUUUAUACCAGUGGUUCUCAAAUUAUGGGGCAGGCCUCCCAAGUGAGGCGUGGGAAUAUAUCAAAGGAGGCGUGAGCUGUGUGCUUUUUGAGGGGGGAGGGGGGAAGGAAGAGCUCUGACUGUCAGCCCUCCAGAAGGGCUGUGCACACCUGGGAGGUGGGGAUAAAGGAGACAACUGGAGCCCCGCCACCCAGGCUCGGACUCCUCCCCCACACCCUGGACCCCAAUCCCUCACCUGAAGGUGGUGGGGCUCUGACUGUU